UCUCUGAUGGUCCAGUGGUUAGGACCCUGUGCUUUCACUGCAGGGGGCCUGAGUUCCAUCCCUGAUCAGGGAA
rnacentral:tRNA from 1 species